rnacentral:rRNA from 1 species
UACGUAGGGCGCAAGCGUUGUCCGGAAUUAUUGGGCGUAAAGAGCUCGUAGGCGGUUUAUCGCGUCUGCUGUGAAAACCUAAGGCUCAACCUUGGGCUUGCAGUGGGUACGGGCAGACUAGAGUGCGGUAGGGGUGACUGGAAUUCCUGGUGUAGCGGUGGAAUGCGCAGAUAUCAGGAGGAACACCGAUGGCGAAGGCAGGUCACUGGGCCGCAACUGACGCUGAGGAGCGAAAGCAUGGGGAGCGAACAGG